rnacentral:rRNA from 1 species
GAAGCGGCAACAGCUCAAAUUUGAAAUCUGGCCUCUUCGGGGUCCGAGUUGUAAUUUGGAGAGGAUGUUUCGGGCACGGUCCGGGCUUAUAUUUCUUGGAACAGAAUGUCAUAGAGGGUGAGAAUCCCGUCUGGAGCUCGGACACGACCUAUGUGAAACUCCUUCGACGAGUCGAGUUGUUUGGGAAUGCAGCUCUAAAUGGGUGGUAAAUUUCAUCUAAAGCUAAAUAUUGGCCAGAGACCGAUAGCGCACAAGUAGAGUGAUCGAAAGAUGAAAAGCACUUUGAAAAGAGAGUUAAAAAGUACGUGAAAUUGUUGAAAGGGAAGCGCUGGCGACCAGACUUGCGCGUCGGGGUUCCCCCUUGCUUCUGCUUGGGUUACUCCCCGGCGUUCAGGCCAACAUCGGUUUCGGGGGUUGGUUAAAGGCCUUGGGAAUGUACCUACCCUCCGGGGUAGACUUAUAGCCCAGGGUGUCAUGCGACCUCCCGGGACCGAGGAACGCGCUUCGGCUCGGAUGUUGGCGUAAUGGUUGUCAGCGACCCGUCUUGAAACACGGACCAAGGAGUCUAACAUCUAUGCGAGUGUUAGGGUGUCAAACCCUUACGCGGAAUGAAAGUGAACGGAGGUAGGAAGCCUUAAGGCUGCACUAUCGACCGAUCCUGAAGUUUACGGACGGAUUUGAGUAAGAGCAUAGCUGUUGGGACCCGAAAGAUGGUGAAC